AAGACUUUCCCCUCGGGGAUCAAUAAAGUAUUUCUGAUUCUGAUUCUGCUACCGGAAGUUAUGUUAUUAUUUGCAUUAAACAUUGAAGUUUAGCUCAGAAACUUCUAUGACAAGUUUCCACAGCAGCUGCUAGCUCGCUGUCAGAGCUCUACAUCCCAACAUCCCGCGAGUGCUGCAGUCGGAUGCCUCUUUAUUUUGAAGAUUACAAAGGCCCGGACGUCUUACUGUUGGAACAUUUUAACUGUUAUUAUAAAUCAAACUUGAUUUUGUUUUCUUAAAUCGUUUUCAAUGUUUGUGAAUCUUGAUGAUAAAGAAACAACAACGGAUGUUUCUGCUUCCGGUUGUUACCAUUUUAAUACGGAAAAGUGGCACAGACCCCUCUGCGCGCCGUUGCUAGGAGACGUCCGCAGUCCCUCUGCGCACGCGUGCUGAUGACGUUCUUCGCUAACAACAAGCAAACGCUCCUUGGCAACCAGCUCGUUAAACGCCAGAAUCUACAAAAAAACACAAGUUAAAUUAUAAGAAGCUAACGUUCGUUAGCCGACAGAUCCGUGUUUUCACUUCAUCAGG